GUAAGGAAUAUUGGUCAAUGGGCGCAAGCCUGAACCAGCCAUGCCGCGUGCAGGAAGACGGCCCUACGGGUUGUAAACUGCUUUUGUACCGGAAUAAACCCCCGAUCGUGAUCGGGGCUGAAUGUACGGUAAGAAUAAGGAUCGGCUAACUCCGUGCCAGCAGCCGCGGUAAUACGGAGGAUCCGAGCGUUAUCCGGAUUUAUUGGGUUUAAAGGGUGCGUAGGCGGCCUUGUAAGUCAGGGGUGAAAGACGGUAGCUCAACUAUCGCAGUGCCUUUGAUACUGCAGGGCUUGAAUGUACUUGAGGUAGGCGGAAUGUGACAAGUAGCGGUGAAAUGCAUAGAUAUGUCACAGAACACCAAUUGCGAAGGCAGCUUACUAAAGUAUGAUUGACGCUGAGGCACGAAAGCGUGGGGAUCAAACAGG
rnacentral:rRNA from 1 species